GACAGAAAGACCCUAUGAAGCUUUACUGUAACUUGGAAUUGGAUUUGGGCUUUUCUUGCGCAGUAUAGGUGGGAGGCAGUGAAAAUAAGUUUGAGGACUUAUUUGAGCCAACAAUGAGAUACCACUCUGGAAAAGCUAAAAUUCUAACUUUGAGCCGUUAGCCGGACGAAGAACAGUUUCAGGUGGGCAGUUUGACUGGGGCGGUCGCCUCCCAAAAAGUAACGGAGGCGUGCAAAGGUUCCCUCAGGCUGGUCGGAAAUCAGUCGUAGAGUGUAAAGGCAUAAGGGAGCUUGACUGCAAGACUUACAAGUCAAGCAGAGACGAAAGUCGGCCUUAGUGAUCCGACAGUGCCGAGUGGAAGGGCUGUCGCUCAACGGAUAAAAGUUACUCUAGGGAUAACAGGCUGA
rnacentral:rRNA from 1 species